rnacentral:tRNA from 5 species
GGGGGCGUAGCUCAGUUGGUUAGAGUGCCGGCCUGUCACGCCGGAGGUCGCGGGUUCGAGCCCCGUCGCUCCCGCCA